rnacentral:rRNA from 1 species
GGACUACACGGGUAUCUAAUCCCGUUUGCUCCCCACGCUUUCGUGCCUUAGUGUCAGGAACGAGCCAGUUAUCUGCCUACGCCAUCGGUGUUCCUCCCAAUAUCUACGGAUUUCACUCCUACACUGGGAAUUCCAAUAACCUCUCUCGUCCUCUAGCCAAGCAGUUUCGAUAAUGUUUAUAUGGUUGAGCCACACUCUUUCACUACCGACACACUUUGCCACCUACGCAACUCUUUACGCCCAGUAAUUCCGGAUAACGCUUGCUUCCUCCGUAUUACCGCGGCUGCUGGCAC